CUUGAGCAAGUACAAGCCAGAAGAACAAGCCGCAGAGUGGAAGACCUGGAUCCAGUAUCACAACAACCAGCAAGAUUCGAGUAGCUGUGGCGUUUUAGUUCUGCUGUUCGCCAAGGAAUUCCUACAAACAAGGACCAUCUGGGAAGUCAAGACCACGGAGGAACAUAUAAGGGAUGCAAGAAUGGAAAUAGCAUGUGCCCUACUACAGUACAAAGGUCCGGUAUAUCUAACUAUCUCCAAAUGGUUAAUCUAGAUAAUUACAUUCAUACAAAAUGUGCACAUAUAAUAACAUCCAACUGUAAAUUUAUUCUUAAAAUAAUCCACAAGACAUACAGACAUAAUAACAUCUAGGUAUGACCCUUUACUUGUUCUCAUAAAUAUAUAUAGCAAUAAACUCCUUCCCUUGAAAUAUCUGAUCAAUCUAAUAAUUACAGUUAAUUGAGGUUUGUCAUUUUCUCAUUUGGAAAAAUUUUCUCUCUAACAUUAUCUUUUAGCAUGCUGAUUGCACAACUGCUGUGUCCUGCGACGGAGGAGGAAGACUAAUGAAGAGCUCCAGAUCAUUUUCUAAAAACAAAUCGGUAGAGUUUAGACUACCUUACGUGCACUUUCAGUCUUCAACAGGUAACUAUUCAAGCUAACAAUCUUACCUUUUUCUUUGUUGGAUCGACUGAGGCUAACGCUGUGUCCUGCGACUGAGGAGGAAGACUAAGGAAGAGCUCCAUGUAAGAUACUUGUCUAAGAACAAAGCGGUAGAGUUUAGACUACCUUACGUGCACUUUCAGUCUUCAACGGGUAACUAUUCAAGCUAACAAUCUUACCUUUUUCUUUGUUGGAUCGACUGAGGCUAACGCUGUGUCCUGCGACGGAGGAGGAGGAAGACUAAGGAAGAGCUCCAUGUAAGAUACUUGUCUAAGAACAAAACGGUAGAGUUUAGACUACCUUACGUGCACUUUCAGUCUUCAACAGGUAACUAUUCAAGCUAACAAUCUUACCUUUUUCUUUGUUGGAUCGACUGAGGCUAACGCUGUGUCCUGCGACGGAGGAGGAAGACUAAGGAAGAGCUCCAUAGACAACCAGUGUCCUCCAGGUGACUACUUUGAAGAAGGGAUACAUCUUAAAUGGUCAUAUAUAAAAAGAUUAAUACUAUACCCUAGUUAUCACAAUAUACUAAUCUAAUAAUAAGUAUAUAGCCUACCACAUGUCAUACACUGUAGUAUGUAGCCCAGCACAUGUCAUACAC